AGCGAACGUUAGCGGCGGGCCUAACACAUGCAAGUCGAACGCGAAAGGUCUUCGGACUGAGUAGAGUGGCGCACGGGUGAGUAACACGUAGGUAAUCUACCCUUUGGCGGGGGAUAACGUUCCGAAAGGAGCGCUAAUACCGCAUAAGACCACGUGGUCUCCGGACCGAGUGGGAAAAGGUGGCCUCUUCUUGAAAGCUACCACCGAAGGAUGAGCCUGCGUCCCAUCAGCUAGUUGGUAAGGUAAUGGCUUACCAAGGCGAAGACGGGUAGCUGGUUUGAGAGAAUGAUCAGCCACACUGGCACUGGAACACGGGCCAGACUCCUACGGGAGGCAGCAGUGAGGAAUAUUGGGCAAUGGGCGAAAGCCUGACCCAGCCACGCCGCGUGAGUGAUGAAGGCCCUCGGGUCGUAAAGCUCUGUGGAGAGGGACGAAAACCCUGGUUUCAAAUAGGCUCCAGGCUUGACGGUACCUCUUUAGCAAGCACCGGUUAACUCUGUGCCAGCAGCCGCGGUAA
rnacentral:rRNA from 1 species